rnacentral:rRNA from 1 species
GACGAACGCUGGCGGCGUGCUUAACACAUGCAAGUCGAGCGGAAAGGCCCUUUCGGGGGUACUCGAGCGGCGAACGGGUGAGUAACACGUGAGUAAUCUGCCCCUGGCUUUGGGAUAGCCACCGGAAACGGUGAUUAAUACCGGAUACGACCACUUCUCGCAUGGGAUGGUGGUGGAAAGUUUUUCGGCCAGGGAUGUGCUCGCGGCCUAUCAGCUUGAUGGUGAGGUAAUGGCUCACCAUGGCUUCGACGGGUAGCCGGCCUGAGAGGGUGACCGGUCACACUGGGACUGAGACACGGCCCAGACUCCUACGGGAGGCAGCAGUGGGGAAUAUUGGACAAUGGGCGGAAGCCUGAUCCAGCAACGCCGCGUGAGGGAUGACGGCCUUCGGGUUGUAAACCUCUUUCAGCAGGGACGAAGCGCAAGUGACGGUACCUGCAGAAGAAGCACCGGCCAACUACGUGCCAGCCGCCGCAGUAAAAC